rnacentral:rRNA from 1 species
UGNGCUAACACUGCGAGUCGAUGGGGCAAUACAAGGCGUCGGCUCAGUAACACCUAGUGCAACCUACCUUAUGGACGGGGAUAACCUCGGGAAACUGAGAAUAAUACCCGAUAGAUCAUUAUGCCUGGAACGGUUUAUGGUCAAAAUGAAUUUCGCCAUAGGAUGGGACUGCGGUCUAUCAGCUUGUUGGUGAGGUAAUGGCCCACCAAGGCUAUAACAGAUACGGGCUCUGAGAGGAGAGGCCCGGAGAUGGGUACUGAGACACGGACCCAGGUCCUAUGGGGCGCAGCAGGCGAGAAAACUUUGCAAUGUGCGAAAGCACGACAAGGUUAAUCCGAGUGUUUCCUGCUAAGGAAUCUUUUGUCAGUCGUAAAACCACUAACGAAUAAGGGGUGGGCAAGUUCUGGUGUCAGCCGCCGCGGUAAAACUAGCACCUNAGUGGUCAAGGANGAUUAUUGGGCCUAAGCAUCCGAANCUGCUUUGUNAGGU